GGAAAAUGGACGGAUCUUGGAAAAAGCUCGCGGAUCCUUUUUGUUCAUGAAUCCGACCCAACGGAUAUCCAUUCACCCGAUUAACAAAUGAGUACACCAUACGUUUCAAACAUUCAGAAACCCUAAUCAUCCAGCCUCAAUCGCCGUUCUUCCAUCAGUCAAGCAAAUCAGAUGGUGAUCCAUAUCCGUUUCAUCCUUAGGGUUACAGUUCCUCCUCUGCAAGGGUUAUGAAAUUGGGAUUAUUCAACAGCUUAUUAUGAAGUGUUUUCCCUGUAAGGUUUUUACAUUUGGGUCUGUGCCUCCUAAAACAUAUCUACCGGAUAGCGAUAUCGACUUAACAGCCUUCAGCGACAGUCCAAACUUGAAAGAUUCAUAGGCAAGUGAGGUCUGUGAUUUAUUGCAGACCAAAGAAAAGAACGAGAAUGCAGAAUUUCAAGUAAAGGAAGUUCAAUACAUUCAAGCAGAAGUUAAGAUUAUAAAGUGUUUGGUGGAGAAUAUUGUGGUAGAUAUUUCUUUUAAUGAGCUUGGAGGGCUUUGUACCCUUUGUUUUCUUGAGGAGGUUAGUGUAAUGCAAGUGUGUUUACACAUAUUAUAAGUUUCAUUUUACAACUUUCUAAUAAAAUAUUAGUUGUGCAGGUUGACCAUUUGAUAAGUUUGGUGGAGAAUAUUGUGGUAGAUAUUUCUUUUAAUCAGCUUGGAGGGCUUUGUACCCUUUGUUUUCUUGUGGAGGUUAGUGUAAUGCAAGUGUGUUUACGCAUAUUAUAAGUUUCAUUUUACAACUUUCUAAUAAAAUAUUAGUUGUUCAGGUUGACCAUUUGAUAAACCAUAAUCAUUUAUUUAAGCGUAGCAUUAUACUCAAUGGUUCUAGAAAUUUUAGUUUACAGUUGGUGUCAAGUUAGCCGGCCUUUUGAAACUCACACCAACAACGUAACUUUAAUGCAUUCCCCAGGGUCGGCCCUAGGGGUGGGCGACCCGCACCCCCAGCCAAGGCCCAAUUUCCCCGGGGGCCAAUUUUUUUUUAAUUUUUUUAUAUAACCAAGUAUUGAGUGAGCCCAUAAAUAUCUUGAAGUGAACUCUUAUAAAGAAGUAAAUGAAUGUUCUGUCGUGGUUUGUCUUUAAGUAUAGUUAAAGAACUUAUAAGGUCACAGGUUCAAGUCCUUCUGCUGAUGUUUUUUUUUGUGGUUAAACAUUGUACUGUUGCAUUUCAAACAUGGUCUGGGAGUUCCCACCCAACGGAAAACGAUCGGUUCACGCAGUGUUUCUUCUCACCUGUUGGUACUUUGGAAAGCACGAAAUGCUAAAAUGGUGCAGCCCCAUUUGUUUCUAAAAUCAUGCAGGAGGUAAAGAAGACAUCUUUUGACCGGUUAAAACACAGAUCAAGAAUGAUUGGGGUUGAUUUGAAGUAGGUGGUGAACUGGGCCUGCACAACUUAAUUAUGUGAGGAUUGAACUGUUGGGUAUUGGAAUAGAGUUUGCUAUAAUUUUGCUGUAUGUUUGUAAGUCCCCUAAAGCAACUUGCUUGGGGAUUUUUUAUUCUUUGAUUACUAAAGGAACGAUCCAUUCAACUGUUCGAAAAAAUGGAUCAAAAGUGCAAUAAUUUGGCUUUUAAUCCAAGAAAAAUGUUGCAGCAUGGGCUGUGGAAAUCCAAUGAAUUUAAAGGAUGGUGAGGAGAGCUAUCAAGAAUGCCAGGAGAGCUUCACGAAUCAUCGUUUAACUAUUACGCCUUCUCAUUCUCAGGAACAAAGCUCGCACGAGGUCGUGUGGUCGUGUUCAUUAUCGUAAAUACGGGCAACUCUGCUUAGCUGGCCAAAAAAGAAGACAUUAAUGGAUUACUUGUGGGUGGUGCUUUAUUAAAGGGCUAAUGAGUGAUGAAUUGAGGAAUUUAGCUGACCCUUUCGAAGCCCGAGGAAGCAAAAAAGCCUACGUUCAGCUUAGGGGCAGUUGAUCCCAAAAUUGGGUCUCACAUAUAUGACAAAACCAAGAGUCCCUGCCUUCUUCGUGACGCAAAGAGAUUUAAAACCCGUAGUACUAAAGUGGUUAAACCCGUAGUACCCGUAGUACUACAAUUUGUUUUAUGUAUUACAUUUUAAAUCCUAUAUAAGAUUUUUUCUAUCUUUUUAA